UCUCUCCCUCCCUCCCGCAGCCGCUUCCCUCCCUCCCUCCCGCGCGCCUCCUCUCCUCCCACCCACAUCGCCGCCGCCGCCACCCACCUCCUCGAACCGCGAUGAGCAGCAGCGGAGGGAGGACGAGGAGCACGACGGCGGCCCUCCUCCCCCUCGUGCCACGACCGCUCCAUCUCCUUGAGCUCCCCCUUCCCCUUCCUCACCCCAUCACCUUUGCCGGUGGAUCCCGGCGAGGAGGAGCAGCCAAUUUCUGCCGGUGCCUCCCCCCAAUCCGCAGCACGACCGCCAGAGCCCACGUCUCUGGUGAGGUGAGCCACGGCGGCCACGCGCCUGCGCCGGCGCCCGCGGCUGACACGUCCCCGGGCAUCUCCUCCGCGUCUCUGGAUCCGGCCGCCGUCGCCGCCUCAGGUGCUGCUCGCCUCAUCCCCCUCGCGCCGGCCCUGGCCCUGGCCCCGGCACUGGCGCCGUCGAAGUCCGCGUCGAGCGCCCGCAUCGCCCGCCCGUGCACCCGAACCCGACACGACUCAGGGCGCGCCCCAACUCCCGGCGCUGGCCGCCUCUGUCGCCUGCGUCGCCAUCUUCCUCAUCACCAAGUUCGUUAACGACUGCCCCAACCAUAGCGCCGGCAACUGCUCCGUGGGGUUCCUCGACGGAUUCGCCUUCCAGCCGCUCAAGGAGAACCAGCUCCUCGGCCCAUCCUCCACCACAGAAUAAUUGAGUAUGAAGCAACCAAGGUGAUGCUGGCCCUAAGCAUCAAUCCAUGUGUUCCGACUCUAUGAGUUUACAUACGGCUACAAGCAAGCCGCCGGGCAGUGCUCCAAUAUUGUAUUACUGGGCAGUGCUGGGCAGUGCACGCCGUUGCCACCAGUUGCGCCUUGCGCGGCCAAGGGGCGCCAGCCGCAGAUGCUCGAUGCGUCGCUCCCUGUCACUCGUUCUGUGACCGCUGUAGGUGUUCCCCGGUCAUUCUUCCUCCUCCAUUGGCAGGAGGGGCUCGUCUGCAGUUCUGCUACAGUCAAUCUCUCUCUCUCUCUCUCUCUCUCUCUCUCUCUACCCAUCAUCGUGGAAUUGCAGGUCGUUCAUUAACACUAUUUGAUAUCUGAGAACUAGAAAUGCUGAAAUCUGAAAACUGGAAUCUCCAGUUAACUGAUUUUUUGAACGUUUAAUCUUGUCUAACUAUUUGUGAGGUUUAUUCGGGUUUCCAGUAGAUAAAACCUAACCCUAUGUAUUUAUAAAUGGAGCAGAACUGUAUUUAUAGAACUUCAGAGAAUUUAUUACUGGAGCCACCAUACAAAACUCUCUAGAGCAAAACUCUAUUUCAACUAUAAAUGGCAAGAACAAAACUUUUAUAUAUUUUCUGUGUGUGUAGAUGCUUAAGCUUAAGCUUCUGUUAUUUGCUUCAGUUAGAGAUUAAAGAAGUCUGAAAUUGAGUCGAUGGUGUAUAUACUUGAUAUAUAUAAAUGGUCAAAAUACGGAAGUGCUUUUAUGAAAGUCAAAUAUGCAGUUGUCUUCCUGUUUGAAUCUUCAUUGUUGAUUCCAAGUUUGCUGCUUCCCAAAAAGUGGAGAUUUGUAGUACGGACAGAACUUCAACCUAUUCAACAUAGAUCUUAAACUGACCAGACAAUAGUAUAAUAUUUUUUAUUUACGGCCUUAGAAUUGUAUUGCCACAAAAAACAGAUUUGGAAUCUCAAAGAAAGCAGGUUCUUAUGCUACAUAAUUGUUUCCUCUAUUAUAGUUAACCUCUCUAUUUUGUCGUCUCUAACAGCCAAGAUGAGUGCUCUAUGCUUACGACUCAUGCUAACUGAACUGGUGAUGUUUCUUUCUUCACCUCGAUUGAUGCCACAUGUUCCCCCUGGCGAGUCUUGACACCAUGUUUAUACAAUUAAGAUCGCCCUCUGGUUGCUUGAACACAUUUGAUUUAUUGCAAAUUUUGGUACACUAUUUUGAUAGGAGUGUUCUUUGCUUACCGUCCACACUUACUAGGUUUUCUUCAGAACGUUUGUUAGAGCAUAGUUCAUGUAUCUGGUACCUUAGCAUUGUUAGCUUUUAAACUUGUUUUAUGUCCAUCACCCAGACAUCAUCUUAUGUUCUUCUCAAUUUGUGUGCGCAAAGGUUGCAAUUCCAUGUUCUAGGCUUAGCUCAACCAGAUAACAUGUAGGGAGUUCAAUUUUAUUUGUUAAUAUAAUGGUGGAAUCAUAUAUCUCUAAGGUGCAAUCAUUAGUCAAGUGUCAGUAACUUGCUGGUAGUUCUAUUAUGUCAUGAACUAAAAUGUUAAGGAGAUUUCUUCCGUUUUAUGAAUUAACGAUGUGGCCAACUGUUGUGAAGUCUCAAAAAUGAGAAAUGGUUGUCCAUCAGUUGGGCUUGAUUUUCUGCUUGGUUUUGUGAAAUACAUUUUGAUUAGGGUUAAGGUUGGCCCUUGGUCUCAGGUUGCCACGUCGUCCUCGUCUUCGGCUUGCAAGGGACUGGAUCUGGUGUGAUUGAUUCUUCCUCUCGCAAGGUUAUGAUGGCCGACAAACAGCUCCAAGUUCACGGGUCGCCAGGCUCGCCGAGUGACGCUGGCUCCAACGGUGGUCUGUGAGCACUUGCCCAGGUCAAUUGAUAUUUGUGGUGGCCCUUCUCUGUUUUUACUUGGAAAAAUUUAGUCCGUAUGUGCCUCAGUGAUUUUUAAAAUCAAAGGAAAUGCUCCGUGCAGAAAAAUACAUAUCUAAUCUAGGGGGUAUAUGUAAUAGCGGUAGAUAAAUAAUAAUGUUUAGAUUCAGGCAGUAUACUACAAUCUGCCUUCUGGAGAGGGGCCUAUGCUUGCUAAGUUCUUUGUACGGUGCCUUCAGGGAGGCUGUGUGGUGCCGACCGGAUGUACGGCGAGGUCUUCAUAAUGGCAUCAAGUCACCCUUGCCAUAUGGAUCAUAUGUAAGCUCUUCCUGCUAACCUACAGGAGUACAUUUUGAUGCUUCAAGUCUGAACCUAUGUAACUUGUGAACUAAUGCCUCCCUGAGUGUGUGUGUGUGUGCACGCGCGCUAUGUUAAAUCAAACUUCUUCAGACUACUGUGAAGUAAUGCCACUUGUCAUAUUGACCAAAUUUCAUUGCUUGAUGGCCAUUUAGAGAGGCCAUUUAGAGUUGUCAAAAAUCUGGGACUGUGAAGUCUAUUUACACUGUCAAAAAUCUCGGACUGUUUUCAGAGUUGCUACAACAAUGGAAUUUUCAGUUUGACAAAACAGUUUAAACUGAAAAUCUGGGACUUCACAUUUGCUACAACAGAGUUGUCAAAAAUUCAGUUUACACUGUUAGUUUGACAAAAACUGUCCAAACUGAAAAUUCAGUUAUAAUGGUGUAGGCAUUGUUAAUCUUUGGGGAUAAUUGUAGAUGUUGUGAAGUGAUUUAGAUGUCUGCUUUGCUGUGCAUACUGGCAUCAAAUAAUUCCAACUUAAUUCAGAGAAAAUUGGUAACUCAUGUAUGUUGGCAUCAAAUUAUUGCCAGUAAUACAUUUAUUGGCAAUCAGUACAUGAUCAAUGACUGAAUUAAGUUGUAAUCCUUUUGCUGAAUUGGCCCCUGUAUUACUGUA